GUAGGGUGCGAGCGUUAGUCGGAAUUACUGGGCGUAAAGCGUGCGCAGGCGGUUGUGUAAGUCAGAUGUGAAAUCCCCGGGCUCAACCUGGGAACUGCAUUUGAGACUGCACGGUUAGAGUGUGGCAGAGGGGGGUGGAACUCCACGUGUAGCAGUGAAAUGCGUAGAGAUGUGGAGGAACACCGAUGGCGAAGGCAGCCCCCUGGGCCAAUACUGACGCUCAUGCACGAAAGCGUGGGGAGCAAACAGGAUUAGAUACCCUGGUAGUCCACGCCCUAAACGAUGUCAACUAGGUGUUGGAAGGGUUAAACCUUUUAGUGCCGUAGCUAACGCGUGAAGUUGACCGCCUGGGGAGUGCGGCCGCAAGGCUA
rnacentral:rRNA from 1 species